rnacentral:rRNA from 1 species
GGCUUAACACAUGCAAGUCGAGGGGCAGCAUUAUCGAAGCUUGCUUUGAUAGAUGGCGACCGGCGCACGGGUGAGUAACGCGUAUCCAACCUUCCCAUCACUCAGGGAUAGCCCGCCGAAAGGCGAAUUAAUACCUGAUGGUCUCCUUCGCGGACAUCUAACGAGGAGUAAAGAUUUAUUGGUGAUGGAUGGGGAUGCGUCUGAUUAGGUAGUAGGCGGGGUAACGGCCCACCUAGCCGACGAUCAGUAGGGGUUCUGAGAGGAAGGUCCCCCACAUUGGAACUGAGACACGGUCCAAACUCCUACGGGAGGCAGCAGUGAGGAAUAUUGGUCAAUGGACGGAAGUCUGAACCAGCCAAGUAGCGUGCAGGAUGACGGCCCUAUGGGUUGUAAACUGCUUUUGUGCGGGAAUAAAGUAUGGGACGUGUCCCAUUUUGCAUGUACCGCACGAAUAAGGACCGGCUAAUUCCGUGCCAGCAGCCGCGGUAAUACGGAAGGUCCGGGCGUUAUCCGGAUUUAUUGGGUUUAAAGGGAGCGUAGGCCGGAUAUUAAGCGUGUUGUGAAAUGUAGAUGCUCAACGUCUGCACUGCAGCGCGAACUGGUGUCCUUGAGUGCGCAGGAAGUCGGCGGAAUUCGUUGUGUAGCGGUGAAAUGCUUAGAUAUGACGAAGAACUCCGAUUGCGAAGGCAGCUGACUGUAGCGUUACUGACGCUGAAAGCUCGAAAGGUGCGGGUAUCGAACAGGAUUAGAUACCCUGGUAGUCCGCACAGAAAACGAUGGAUGCUCGUUGUUCGCCCAUUUUGAGGGGUGAGUGACUUAGGGAAACCGUUAGCAUCCCACCUGGGAGUACGCCGGCAACGUGAAACUCAAAGGAUUUGAUGGGGGCCCGCUCAAGCCGAGGACCUUGCGGUUAAUUCAUUGUACCGAGGAACCUUAUCCGGGUUUGAACUGUUGGAAGACCUCCAAGAU